AUUAGUGGUAGUUUCUAUUCUUUUCACAAUUAACCUUUAAUACAAGGCGUGAAUAGUUUAUAACCACCCAAUUUCAGUUUUUGAUUUUCACGAAACCUACAUUUGUUGCAACCUCUCAUCUCUCUCUCUCUCUCUCUCAUUGCAUGUAUAGAAUGGGGAGAAGGAAGAUAUUAGUAUCAUUAGUGGUGGUGUCAUUACUACUAUGUUGUUCAGAAUGUUUGCAACACAGAGUUGGGGAUUCAAUAUGGUCUAUUCCUCCAACCAAUAAUUUCUACAAAAACUGGUCUUCUUCCUACAACUUUCACACUGGAGACACUCUUUAUUUCGACUUCGAUUCAGGGCUUUACAACGUGCUUCAAGUGUCGAGAGGCGAGUUCGAUAUGUGCACCGGAUAUGAGCCAUACAAGACCUUCAUCGACGGACCGGCAAGCAUCCCUUUGCCUAUGAAAGGCGUCUUUUAUUAUGUAUGCAAUGUCUCCAACUAUUGUGCCUUAGGCCUCAAGCUUUGGGUCAUCGUCGAACAGGCUUGAUUCAUAUGAUUUAUUUUUCUUCUAUUCUUACUUUAAGUUAUUUUUAUUUGUAGCAUAUAUUGAGAUUUGAUCUCUUUUGUCAACUCGAAUUCCAAUUAUUACAAGAAUCGACUUGCCUA